rnacentral:tRNA from 1 species
UUUGGCACAGUAGGUAGUGCAUCAGUCUCAAAAGCUGAAAGUCUGGAGUUCUGAUCUCAGAA